rnacentral:rRNA from 1 species
UGCCGAAUCAACUAGCCCUGAAAAUGGAUGGCGCUUGAGCGAAAGACCUAUACCCGGCCGUUACUGGCUUGUGCGAUGGCUAACGCCUGGCCGUAACGAGUAGGAGGGUCGUGGUGGUUGCGUUGAAGGCUUAGGGCGUAGGCCCGGCUGGAGCUUCCAUCAGUGCAGAUCUCGGUGGUAGUAGCAAAUAUUUAAGUUCGAUCCUUGAAGACUGAAGUGGGGAAGGGUUCCACGUGAACAGUAGUUGAAUGUGGGUCAGUCGAUCCUAAGAUACUGGCUUAUGCCUUGUAUCAUCGAGAGGGAGAAGUUUCUUCUCUCUCGGAUAUCGAAAGGGAAUAGAGUUAAUAUUCUCUAACGCAGACAUAGAGAUUGUGGCUCUUUGAGUUGCUUGCGCGGUAACGCAUUCGAACUCGGUAACGUCGCUUAGAGACCGAGCUAGAGUUUUCUUCUCUAGUUAAGGAACGGACUCCCUGGAAUCGGUUCAUCCGGAGAUAGGGACGUUGUUUCCGUAAAGCACCGCGGUUUCUGUGGUGUCUCGUGCUCUCUGAACGGCCCUUGAAAAACCGAGGGAGGCUAUUAAUCUAUGCUGCAUCGUACCGAUAUCCGCAUCAGGUCCUCAAGGUGAACAGCCUCUAGUCGAUAGAAUAAUGUAGGUAAGGGAAGUCGGCAAAUUAGAUCCGUAACUUCGGGAAAAGGAUUGGCUCCAGUGAUCGGGUCGGUUGGCCUGUUCACUGAUACUUGUAUGGUUUCGUUCGUGGCUGGCUGAUGCUAACGCUGAUGUCGGACUAGUGAUGAGACAGUCUUGUGGACGUUUAUAGGUGUGUGCUUUGCUUUCGAGCUUAGUAUCCUGACCGGCCAUUAAAACGGUCGAACUGGAACUGGUACGGACUCGGGGAAUCCGACUGUCUAAUUAAAACAGAGGAGACAGAUGGUCCUUGCGGACGUUUACUGUCUCUGAUUUCUGCCCAGUGCUCUGAAUGUUAAAUCGUAGUAAUUCGAGUAAGCGCGGGUAAACGGCGGGAGUAACUAUGACUCUCUUAAGGUAGCCAAAUGCCUCGUCAUCUAAUUAGUGACGCGCAUGAAUGGAUUAACGAGAUUCCCACUGUCCCUAACUACUAUCUAGCGAAACCACAGCCAAGGGAACGGGCUUGGUAAAAAUAGCGGGGAAAGAAGACCCUGUUGAGCUUGACUCUAGUUUGACAUUGUGAAGAGUCAUGAGAGGUGUAGCAUAGGUGGGAGACUUAUGUCGCCAAUGAAAUACCACCACUUUCAUCGAUUCUUUACUUAUUCGGUAAUGUGAGGAUUGGGCCAUCGGCUCUUUCUUCUUUGUGUUAAGUGAAGUCACCUGGUGACAUUACGACUCCCGUCGAAGACAAUGUCAGGCGGGGAGUUUGACUGGGGCGGUACAUCUGUCAAAUCGUAACGCAGGUGUCCUAAGGCUAGCUCAGAGAGGACGGAAACCUCUCGUAGAGCAAAAGGGCAAAAGCUCGCUUGAUCUUGACUUUCAGUACGAGUACAGACCGCGAAAGCGUGGCCUAUCGAUCCUUUUAAUCCAGAUAGUUUCUGGUAAGAGGUGUCAGAAAAGUUACCACAGGGAUAACUGGCUUGUGGCAGCCAAGCGUCCAUAGCGACGUUGCUUUU